rnacentral:rRNA from 1 species
GAUGAACGCUGGCGGCGUGCCUAAUACAUGCAAGUCGAGCGAACAGACGAGGAGCUUGCUCCUCUGACGUUAGCGGCGGACGGGUGAGUAACACGUGGAUAACCUACCUAUAAGACUGGGAUAACUUCGGGAAACCGGAGCUAAUACCGGAUAAUAUAUUGAACCGCAUGGUUCAAUAGUGAAAGACGGUUUUGCUGUCUCUUAUAGCUUGAUCCGCGCCGCAUUAGCUAGUUGGUAAGGUAACGGCUUACCAAGGCGACGAUGCGUAGCCGACCUGAGAGGGUGAUCGGCCACACUGGAACUGAGACACGGUCCAGACUCCUACGGGAGGCAGCAGUAGGGAAUCUUCCGCAAUGGGCGAAAGCAUGACGGAGCAACGCCGCGUGAGUGAUGAAGGUCUUCGGAUCGUAAAACUCUGUUAUUAGGGAAGAACAAAUGUGUAAGUAACUAUGCACGUCUUGACGGUACCUAAUCAGAAAGCCACGGCUAACUACGUG